GCCUCCCGUCGCUCCCUGUCGGCCGCACGGCCAAUGGGAUCGGCACGGCGAGCGCCGGGGAUCGCUGCUGCCUGCAAAUAGUGCUGCCCCUCCUGGGUCCCCGGAGAGCCGGCGCUGGGGGCAGCGGGGCAGGCGCGAACGCCAGUUCACCCUGCAACGCCAACAGCUAAAGGGGGGGCGGGGGGGAGAAUAAAUCCCAACCCACCAACUUGGUGUGCUGCAAUUGUUUGGGGGGUGAGGGGAGAACUUGCUGGGGAAGGAAAGACCUGUCCCCGCUGUGUUCGGUAGGGGACGGUCGAUGCAGCGAGAAGCUGCGGGGGUGCCGGUGGUGCCCAGCCCUGGGGCCGUGGGACGCCCCUGCCCGCCACCCGGUGCUGGCGGCUCGGCAAGUUUCUCUCAACUGUUACUGCCUAGCGGGUUAGCUUUUUUUUUUUUUUUCUUUUCCUUUCAGUUUUUAACCCUCCGCACUCCUCGUCUCACUCCGUUUGUGGUUUUUUUUCCAAACUACCUGCUGAAUUUUAUCAGCAGAUGUUUUUAAAAGCUUGGCCGGGGUUGCAGUCCGCGGUCCAAAAAAUGUCAACGUGCAUAACGGAGCUAGGGAGUGUUGCUGAGUGAACAGUUAUAGAAGCAAGUGUCAGUGCUGGGUCAUUUGCAGAGCUGGCAAGGAUUUUCUCCCGCCCGCAGGUCACUGAGCAAAGUUAUUUUGUGUCUAUGCAUCAGAGCUCCUAUCCUGGGACAUAAUAAGGGGAGGAUUUGUAAGCAUUGGCCCCUAGACAAUCUCAUGAAGCGUUGAUUCAAAAUGGUGCGUUAUUUAUUUUAAAGCAUCUUAUUUUACGCUUGAACUUGCGAGAAAAAUAGUGGUUUGUUUUUUUUUUUUCCCACUGCUUUAGAAAUUAACGCAAAACGCCAUGCUCGUGUUUUGAAAGGAAACAGCGGAUUUGCUUUUGUAUUUUGUCGGGGAAAGGCGGGGGAAAUAGUCUCAGAAAGAGGGGAAAAAAAAGGCAGGCUUAGUAGUAAGUAAUAUUUACUUGACUAUAUCUUGUAAUUUGGUACAGAACUUAACCAAGUUAUCCUCAUGGGCUUUUCUGGCACGAUCAUUACCUAACAUUUGUAGCCCUGCAUGUUUCUCCAGCCUGUUUCUUACAUCAAGACAAUGCAAGACAUGGAAAGGGAUCUCAUUUCAGCAUCACUGCCUGGUGCCUGCAAGCUGUUUGGCCUGGAGAGUAUCUAUUGAAAAUCAAGAUAGAGAAGAAGAUCUUCUGAUCAUCUGAUCAGCGUAGCAUCUCUAUUCAGUUGGAUAUCUUCAACAAAAAAAAAAAUAUCUUUUCCAGAACAAGGCCUUAAUCAUAUGGUGUGAUAAAAGGCUGAAAGGGUGACAACUUGUAACAAGGGCCUAUGAUAAUUUCUAAUCACCACAAAAGAAAGUUUUACAGUUUGUAGAACUGCUUCACAUUGAAUAGGCCACUAGAAGGAGAUGGACUUGCCUUUUAAAAAGCUAGCUUCAGUAAAUAAGUUUAUUUUCUUUUUAAUUUGCUGAUAAUUCACUUAUUUGAAGUGAAGUAUUUCAGUUUUCUUGAUUGGCUUUCCAAUGAAAUCAAGUAAUCAUUUUAUUGUCUUGGGAUCAGAAGUCUUACUUUUUUCUGACUCAUGCAGUCUGCAGAGUCUUGGACUCCCUCCUUAGCCAUAGCCAGAAUUCACUGGUGUGAAUGAACCUGUUGGCUUCUCUGAAAAUGUAUGUAUGUAACACCUACAAAAAAGAAACACUGGAAAUUUCCAGAAGAAAUUUCGUAAUACUCCUGACUUCUAGGUAAUAAAAAUUAAGAAACUGGAACCCUAAUUGUUUAUUUACAAAUUGUUUAUUGUUAAUUUACUUUAAUGAAAUUGUAAUAAUUUGCUUUAUGUUAAAUUAUGUUAAUUUGCUUUGGUGAAAUUGUAAGAGCUGUCAUGCGAUUGCCACUUUCAUUAUAAAACAGAAUUUUUAACACCUAUAGUUAGAUUUGCCUAAUAUUUUCUAUCCCCAAAUCUUAUUUUCAUUAA